UCUUCGAGCUGCAGCUCUGAAGAACCCUAGUUCAACAACUUCAAACCCUUAUAACCAGAUCGAUCACAGGACCACCAUCAAUCUUUCACUUCUCAAGACCCCAUCUCAGAUUCAAAAGCAAACCCUAUUCUCUUCUUCAACUGACUUCUUCUUAAUCAAGAGCACAAAGUCAUCAAAAUCAUCUUCAGAUCCCCUUUCAAAAAAUCGAUUGAACCACAGCAACCCUAGUUUGAUCUGCAGAAUUUAUUUGAACUAGCGAAAUUUGUUGCUACCGAAGGUGAUGGAUUUGAACUUGCUCCUGGUAGGCAGAUACAAUUGGGUUUCACAUUCUAUUCCCCAGUAGAGAAGGCAUCAAUUGCGUUUGGAACUCCUAUUAAUUGGACUAAAAGCUUCUUAAUAGAAGAUGCAGUAAAUAUAUGAACCUGGAUGCUAUUUCAUUUUAGUGAAUGACACAAUUGGCACAUUAUUUCGGGGUAGAUACUUCAAUAAUGACGUCAUUGCUGCUGUGAUAUUGGGUACUGGAACAAAAGCAGCAUAUAUGGAGCGUGCACAUGUGAUUCCCAAGUGGCAUGGACUUUUACCCAAAUCAGGAGAGAUGGAGGUUAUCUUAACUUUGUUUUCUAUCAUAAUUUAUUAUGCUCUUGUUUUCUGAAAUAUUUUUUUUAUAUCUGGUUACUGGAACACACAUUGUUCUUCAUUUACUUUGUCUUUUUGAAUGAAAAUCACUGACCUGCUGGAGCGGGGGAACUUCUCACAUCUUCCUCUAACAGAAUAUGAUCAUUCUUUGGAUCCCGAGAGUCUAAAUGUUGGUGAUCAGGUAAUAUUUUAACUGUAAUUUAUACUCGACCAACAUUUUUUUCACUCGUCAUCCAUUUCCAUAAUAUACAUGUGGUGCUCGUGUCUCCGCUGAAGAGAAAUGGUUAUUAUUGCACACGACGUCGAAUCGUUGAUUUCAUUGAGCUUGUUGUCUGGCUUCCAGCAUCUUGUUGUCUGGCUUCCAGCAGCCAGUUGUCUGGCUACCAGCAUUAUGCCGUAAAAUGAAAAUCCCAUAUGCCAUAAUUUAGUUAAGGACCUGAGAACGAUGAACAAGGGAAGCCAGUGCGUAGGUUUACAGUUGCAUGAAUUUCAUCUGAAAAUUUCGCUUUGUCAUUCUUCUACAAUUCAUAUAUAUAUUUCUUAGAUUAUUAUUUCGUUAUCACAUUGGUUACCAAUUACCUAGACUAUUCAGCAUAUCAUCGACUAGGCUUUGUUGCUCCAGACUAAGGAAGCCUUAUUGUUCUUCCCCUAAAUUUGUAUUUCUAUAAGUUAAUGCUGCUCAUUACAUAUGUAUUACCAUUGCGGUGCUUUCAAGAUUAGCAUUGCCUCCGAAAGUUGUUGAAAGGUCUGUUAUUUUUCUGAGCUUUUGAAGUCUUGCUAAAGAAACCAAGUUUUGAUGGUAAUUUAUUUUUAUUUUGUCCCUCUUUUGGUUAUGCUUUUAGGUUCAUUUCCGUCGUUCAAGGAAUUGCGACAGUGACAAAUGUGUCUGGAAGCACUCACAAAUUACUGUUAAUGUUUUUUUAUUGGAACUGUUAUCUCCAAGCAAAUAAAUUUUCCAAUUUGCACAUUGGAAUAUAUAUGUACACAAUAAUGAUUUACCUCAUAUGUCUACACUGGAAAUAAUUGUGUAGAUGGUGCGGCUCCAAGGGCAAAGUUGAACCAGCAAAAAAGCUUCUAAAGAUACACAAAAAGCAGUAAGUGUUUUUACAUAUACAGUAGUAGCAAAUACAGUAGGCAUGGAAACCCUGCUCAGAAAAAGAAGUACUUACUCAAGUUGAUCGGUGAGGAACACGUUGGAGCUUUGGCUAUGAGUGAACCCAAUGCUGGAUCUGAUGUUGUUAGCAUGAAAUGCAAAGCUGAUCGCGUAGAUGGUGGUUAUGUUAUUAAUGGAGACAAGAUGUGGUGCACGAAUGGCCCAGUUGCUCAAACAUUGGUAUUUGGGCUUCAGUCAAAAAGCAGUACUCUGGUGAUAUUUAAGCAGCAGCUGAAUCUACGUAAGCGGAGUCUCGGGAUGCUUCUGGUGAUAUUUUAGUCUUUGUUUCCCUGUUUCUCAAUGCCUCUGUCAGUUGACACAAACUAGGUUACCCAUCCAUUUAUGAACAUCAACAUAGAUCGAACAUUGUAUGUCAGUCACAAAAUUUUGGGUUCAGUAAGUUUACUUGUGCACAUUUGUAUCAAUUGAAGAAUCCUUUCUUUUGUAAUACCAUCUAAUGGUGAUUCUCAAUAAUACAGUUUUGUAUCUCCAUUGUAGUUUGUA